rnacentral:rRNA from 1 species
GAUGAACGCUGGCGGCGUGCUUAACACAUGCAAGUCGAACGAAGCACUUCGAUUUCUUCGGAUUGAGGAGUGACUGAGUGGCGGACGGGUGAGUAACGCGUGGGUAACCUGCCUCAUACAGGGGGAUAACAGUUAGAAAUGGCUGCUAAUACCGCAUAAGCGCACAGUACCGCAUGGUACGGUGUGAAAAACUCCGGUGGUAUGAGAUGGACCCGCGUCUGAUUAGCUAGCUGGUGAGGUAACGGCGCACCAAGGCGACGAUCAGUAGCCGACCAGGGAGGGUGACCGGCCACAUUGGGACUGAGACACGGCCCAAACUCCUACGGGAGGCAGCAGUGGGGAAUAUUGCACAAUGGGCGAAAGCCUGAUGCAGCGACGCCGCGUGAACGAAGAAGUAUUUCGGUAUGUAAAGUUCUAUCAGCAGGGAAGAAAAUGACGGUACCUGACUAAGAAGCACCGGCUAAAUACGUGCCAGCCGCCGCGGUAAGAC